rnacentral:misc_RNA from 1 species
CUCCCGCUUAGACUUCGACGCCAAAUUUAUCUUUACUUUAUUGUCCAAAUCUUGCUUUACCACCCCAUUCCCAGCAGUCGGGUCCCGGUCAAUUGGGGCCACAGCCGCUGUACCCUGCUGCCUAUUGAGGCUAGAAGAGUCAUCGGAGUUGGCAUCCAAACGCGAAAUGGGCUGUAUCUGGGCCGAAUUUGUGUCUUCUAAAGCUGGGGUUUGCGACUCCGGCAUUCGAAUAGAGUUGUUCUCAUUGUUCCUGUCGUUGCUGCUGCUCUUGUUAUUGUUGUUGUCGUCGUCGUCGUUUGCAGUUGCAGUUGCGGUGGUGGUUAUUGUGGUGUUGACAGUGUUUGUGGUGGUGUUAUUGUUAGUAUUGGUGGUGGCGGCUAUGGUGGUCGUAGUUGUAGUCGUAGUCGU